AUUGAACGCUGGCGGCAGGCCUAACACAUGCAAGUCGAACGGUAACAGGAAACAGCUUGCUGUUUCGCUGACGAGUGGCGGACGGGUGAGUAAUGUCUGGGAAACUGCCUGAUGGAGGGGGAUAACUACUGGAAACGGUAGCUAAUACCGCAUAACGUCGCAAGACCAAAGAGGGGGACCUUCGGGCCUCUUGCCAGCGGAUGUGCCCAGCUGGGAUUAGCUAGUAGGUGGGGUAACGGCUCACCUAGGCGACGAUGCCUAGCUGGUCUGAGAGGAUGAGCAGCCACACUGGAACUGAGACACGGUCCAGACUCCUAAGGGAGGCAGCAGUGGGGAAUAUUGCACAAUGGGCGCAAGCCUGAUGCAGCCAUGCCGCGUGUAUGAAGAAGGCCUUCGGGUUGUAAAGUACUUUCAGCGGGGAGAAAGGGAGUAAAGUUAAUACCUUUGCUCAUUGACGUUACCCGCAGAAGAAGCACCGGCUAACUACGUG
rnacentral:rRNA from 1 species